rnacentral:rRNA from 1 species
UACGUAGGGACCAAGCGUUGUUCGGAUUUACUGGGCGUAAAGGGCGCGUAGGCGGCAACUCAAGUCAGCUGUGAAAUCUCCGAGCUUAACUCGGAACGGUCAGCUGAUACUGUUUUGCUAGAGUGCAGAAGGGGCAAUCGGAAUUCUUGGUGUAGCGGUGAAAUGCGUAGAUAUCAAGAGGAACACCUGAGGUGAAGACGGGUUGCUAGGCUGACACUGACGCUGAGGCGCGAAAGCCAGGGGAGCAAACGGG